ACAACAGAGUGCACCCGUUUUGAGCUCUGGUUUGUUCUCAACGCCUUGAAGGCCAAAAAUACUGCCAAAACCCAAAAGGAAGAGAAGACUUCUACAUCAAGAACUUUUGUAACUUGUAAACUCUGUGGGAAGAUGAGUUAAUGAUUGUAAUCUUACUUAAUAAUUAAAAUCUUUGAUUAUACAGUUAAAAUUCCCGAGCUUAGUGAUUAAUAUAACUAAGAACUAAAGAACACUUUCAUGAGUACCAAGGCUUUGCAGCGAUGGGAACACCUGAAAAAAAAUGGAAAUUUAACUUACGCCACUUUAGAAGAGAAACACAUUUAAGACCAAACACUAGAUUUAGACUCGUAGCAGCUUGUUUUGAGCUCUUAUAAUCACAGAAACAAUAUAGAGUAAGACAGCAAAAGCUUAAGCAUUUCAUUGAUAGAGAAACCAAAAGAAACAAAAACCAUUGAGAGAACUCGAGGAAGAUAACCAAGUGUCGGUGAAAGCAGACUAAAGAUUAUACAAAAAAAAAGAAAGAUUUUGAAAUCGAAUAAAAAAAACCUUCAAAUUUAGGAAAGUGAUAAUCUGGGUUUGAGGAAGAAACCCUGUAAUUUGGAGAGGACGGAGAUUUUGUAGAAUCGAUGAGAGUAACAGAGAGCGCAAUUCUCUUUCCUUUUUCUUUGUCUCUCUUUUUUUUUCUUUUGAAAUAAGAGACAAGACAGAGACGACGACGGCUAUGAC
rnacentral:lncRNA from 1 species